rnacentral:rRNA from 1 species
UACAGAGGUCUCAAGCGUUGUUCGGAUUCAUUGGGCGUAAAGGGUGCGUAGGCGGCGCGGUAAGUCGGGUGUGAAAUCUUGGAGCUUAACUCCGAAACUGCAUUCGAUACUGCCGUGCUUGAGGACUGGAGAGGAGACUGGAAUUUACGGUGUAGCGGUGAAAUGCGUAGAUAUCGUAAGGAAGACCAGUGGCGAAGGCGGGUCUCUGGACCUGUGCUGACGCUGAGGAGCGAAAGCGUGGGGAGCGAACAGG